rnacentral:lncRNA from 1 species
GCGGGGGGGGGGGGGGGCAUUUGAUCACCUGUUCACCUUUGUUCACGGUCGUAUGGAUGUGGGUAGCAAAGACAAUGCCACUUUCUGCAAGGAUCUCCAAUGUUGCCCUGGUCUAUGGAGAGGGGGAAGUGGCCCCUGUUUCCAUAGGGUUUGUCUCCACCUUGCUGGCUGAAGUGCAGGCACAGGCACACACUAAGGAGGCACUGCUCUUAUUCUAUGAUAAAUUAUCAUAGUGUUUUUAUUUUUAUUUUAAAAAGAGAAAAGGAAAAAAAUACUUAGUGGAGCUAGAGAGAUGCCCCAGCGGUUAAAAGCACUUGCUGUUCUUCCAGACAAUUUAGUUUGGCUCCCGGCACCCAUGUCAACAUCAACCAUCUAUAAUUCCAGCUCCAAGGGAUUUGAUUCCCUCUUCUGGCCACCAUGGUCACCUCUACACACAUGGCAUAUAGAUGCAUAUAAAUACACAUAUAUUUGAAAUAAAAAAAUGAAACCUUUUUUUGAGGAUAAAAAUUGUUGAGUGGGCUCACAUGAUUCACACAUGUUCUUAUGUGGCAAUUACAGUGUGCAAUUUCACAAUUUGAAUUUGAUGUUUUUUUUUUCUCUCUGCAGGAAAUUCAAUCACAUCUGUGAGCAAACAAGGUUCAAGAACUAAAUAUUGGAGGAGACACAUGAAACAGUU